GUGUCAGCCGCCGCGGUAAUACCGGGAGCCCAAGUGAUGGCCGAUCUUAUUGGGCCUAAAGCGUCCGUAGCUGGCCACGCAAGUCCAUCGGGAAAUCCACCCGCUUAACGGGUGGGCGUCCGGCGGAAACUGUGCGGCUUGGGACAGGAAGGCUCGAGGGGUACGUUCGGGGUAGGAGUGAAAUCCCGUAAUCCUGAACGGACCACCGAUGGCGAAAGCACCUCGAGAGGACUGAUCCGACAGUGAGGGACGAAGGCUGGGGUCUCGAACCGGAUUAGAUACCCGCGUAGUCC
rnacentral:rRNA from 1 species